GACGAACGCUGGCGGCGUGCUUAACACAUGCAAGUCGAACGGUAAGGCCCUUUCGGGGGUCCACGAGUGGCGAACGGGUGAGUAACACGUGGGUGAUCUGCCCUGCACUUUGGGAUAAGCCUGGGAAACUGGGUCUAAUACCGGAUAGGACUACGCGAUGCAUGUCGUGUGGUGGAAAGCUUUUGCGGUGUGGGAUGGGCCCGCGGCCUAUCAGCUUGUUGGUGGGGUGAUGGCCUACCAAGGCGACGACGGGUAGCCGGCCUGAGAGGGUGUCCGGCCACACUGGGACUGAGAUACGGCCCAGACUCCUACGGGAGGCAGCAGUGGGGAAUAUUGCACAAUGGGCGCAAGCCUGAUGCAGCGACGCCGCGUGGGGGAUGACGGCCUUCGGGUUGUAAACCCCUUUCGGCACAGACGAAGCGUAAGUGACGGUAUGUGCAGAAGAAGCACCGGCCAACUACGUG
rnacentral:rRNA from 1 species